AUGUCAGGAAAUACUAGCCUUAAAUCCCACUGGGACAAAGGGUGUCAGGGCGGCGCAGGCGGGGCGCGGGCAGGCGAGCCCGUGGGAGGCGGCGCAGGGUGGCCCCUGGACGCGGCCCCUCCGUCCCUCUACUCGCUUACCGCUGGGACCCUCCCCGGGCUGCCCCGCGCUGCCUCCCUGACACCUGGUGCGUGGUCGCCACUUUGCACACAUGCAGCAGAUGCCUGCCCCCCCCGACCCCCCACGCGGGGCUCCUGGUCCAGGCACGUCCAGGGGGGUGAUGCAGCAGCCCCGCGGGCCGGGGAUCACGCGGGACUGUUUGUGUUGACUCCGUGUCCGACCAAAUCCGGGGCAGCCUCGGCCGUGAGCCGCGCCGGACGGUGUUCUUCCUGUCACAUACACGCGUGUACUCGUUCCUUAGAAACCGAAAUAAAGUCUAAUUUUGGAAGCUCCUGUUUUGUGAAAUGUGUGGAAAUGGGAGUCAGGUGUCCCGUCCCCCCCCCCCCCCCCCCCCCGCUUCCGUUCGCGGGGUGGGGGAGUGGGCCGGGGACGCCCUCAGCACACGGCAGAUCCGGGCGCAGGGGCCGCAGCCAAGGGGAAGUGCGCUCUCGGGGCGCCCCUGCCCUGCCCUCCUGCCGCACCCUUGGGCCCCCCCAGCAUGAGGGAGGAGAGGGGCGGGGUGAGCCCGGCACCUGCACAAAAGGAGCCGGGGCCCAGGGGCUCAGAUCUGCCCCGAAGGCCAGCCGUGAGCGCGCAGGGUGGAGGUGCUGGGAGGCCGUGGCCCCCCACCUGUAUCCGUGGCCCCCCACCCGUGUCCGUGCCCCCAGGAGCCAUGGCUGCCAGCCCCGUGCUGGGUCUUGCCGCUUUCCUGUGCCUCUCGGUGCCCCGGGCCAGCUGCCUGGUGCGGUUUCGACGUCCGGUAAGAGGCGGUUGCCAACGUGGGCCAGGGGCUCCCAGAGCUCCCGGCCUGCCUCUCAGCGGCCCCCUCUCCCCACAGGUGCAGGUGGCGCUUUUGGAACCCCAAGGUCUGGUGAGGCAGCUGAGGGAGGCCGGGGCCCAGGCUCGGCAGCCCCCGACCUGCCCCACAGCUCCCCCUACCCCAAGGGGACGGGCAGCGCGGCCUGGGCCCCUGGUGCUCCCACAUUAGGGCCCCCGGGCUUGGGGGGCUGUCAGGCGGCUACCGGCUAG
rnacentral:lncRNA from 1 species